UACGUAGGGUGCAAGCGUUGUCCGGAAUUAUUGGGCGUAAAGGGCUCGUAGGCGGCUUGUCACGUCGGGGUGUGAAAGCCCGGGGGCUUAACCCCGGGUCUGCAUUCGAUACGGGCAGGCUAGAGUGUGGUAGGGGAGAUCGGAAUUCCUGGUGUAGCGGUGAAAUGCGCAGAUAUCAGGAGGAACACCGGUGGCGAAGGCGGGUCUCUGGGCCGUAACUGACGCUGAGGAGCGAAAGCGUGGGGAGCGAACAGG
rnacentral:rRNA from 1 species